ensembl:lncRNA
UUUGUUUUCAAUCAAUAUUUUAUUCACUGCAUUCAUAUUAUGGCAACAUGCUCUUUAACACAAAAAUACAAAACAGCAAAGGUUCCAAAAUAAAUGUAAUGAUCGUGUAUUAAAAAUAAAGUAAGAGGUAAGACUAAAAAUCACACAUUUAUAGGGAGGACUUUAAAAGCAGGAACAGGAAUAGUAUAGAGGUGAAUGAAGGAGGGGUAUUUAUGCUUUCAUUAAGUAUUUUAGUGCUCUGAAGGGCUUUAAGCCAUAAGAAUUAGAGUAAUAAGAUAAACGUAUUUUAAAAAAUGAAGUAAAGAUUUAAAGUGUCAUUUAACACCUGAUUUCCUUAACAAAAGCCACAUCUCAAUCGGUAGUCCAGGUGUGACAGGGUGUGACACAGGAUGGCCUUUCCUCCUUAGGUCUCUGCAGUUCCUCAAGCAAGAUGGAGCCCGAUGACAUCACGGACUCCCACCAGACAAACUCCUUCAAUUCUCUACUCUCUCUCUCUCUUUCUCUCUCUGUGUGUGUUUUCUUAUCCAGUGAGACAGGUAAAAGCCGAAUAGCGAUUUUGAUUGGCACAGAGUUUCAUAAUAUAGCAUAACAAUGUUUACAUAUGAAUAAUAUAACAACAACAACAACAAGGAUAGAGUAACAACAGUCAACAGUAUAAUGAUAUAACUAAAAUAACAUAAAAAGGAACAUACAUUGUUACAAAAUGAAGCUACACAGGAACAGUUGAUGAAUUUCUAUACCAUUUAAAACCAGUUGGAACCACUUGGAACCAGUUGGAACCAUUUGGAACCAGUUGGAACCAUUUGAAACCAGUUGGAACCAGUUGAAACCACGUGGAACCAGUUGGAACCAGUUGAAACCACGUGGAACCAGUUGGAACCAGUUGAAACCACGUGGAACCAGUUGGAACCAUUUGGAACUAGUUGGAACCAUUUGGAACCAGUUGAAACCACGUGGAACCAGUUGAAACCACGUGGAACAAGUUGGAACCAGUUGGAACCAGUUGAAACCACGUGGAACCAGUUGGAACCAUUUGGAACUAGUUGGAACCAUUUGGAACCAGUUGAAACCAGUUGAAACCACGUGGAACAAGUUGGAACCAUUUGGAACCAGUUGAAACCAGUUGGAACCAGUUGAAACCAUGUGGAACCAGUUGGAACCAUUUGGAACCAGUUGAAACCAGUUGGAACCAGUUGAAACCAUGUGGAACCAGUUGGAACCAGAUGGAGCCAGUUGGAACCAGUUGAAACCAGUUGGAACCAUUUGAAACCAGUUGAAACCAGUUGGAACCAGAUGCAACCACCCAAGAGAGCAUAAAUCAGUUGAUAUAUACAAUGCUAUGCUGGUUUUACUGUAAAGGCUGGCUGGUGCAUUAUAAAUAAGCUAAAAUAUUACACUGUACUCAUGUAUGUCAACAUCAUAUUGGUAAUACAGUAUAGUACAAUGUCUUUAUAUUUUGUCAUGUUCAAUGAAGUAUAUUCAUUUGAUUAUGUUUUUUAAAAUUUAUAUUUCUCAUGACACAACAGGUCAGGUGAGAUCUUCAACACACCUUAGAGGGACUGUGUUUCAACACACCUGUUUCAACACACCUGAUCACAGAAUCAGAAUACUUUGUUAACUUGAUACCAUUCAGAUACCAGAUGUCCAAAGGGUCCUUCAUCACACAUGUAUAUAAUAAGUAGUGUAUAGUUCCGACAUAUGAGGAACAUGGCCAAUAGUAUAUCAAAGAGGGGAGUGGUCAGUGAGUAAAGGGAAAGACAAUAACAGAGGACAUAUGAAAAACUAUUUCCAGAGGAGGUAUAAACAUGACUUCGGGGACAGGGUGUUGUUUCCCGUCAGAGAGGGGAAGACAAAAAGUGUUACACAGAUUUAGAGCAAUCAAUGUUAGUGACCUCUGGACUCAUUCAGGAAGGUGUUAGUGACCUCUGGACUCAUUCAGGAAGGUGUUAGUGACCUCUGGACUCAUUCAGGAAGGUGUUAGUGACCUCUGGACUCAUUCAGGAAGGUGUUAGUGACCUCUGGACUCAUUCAGGAAGGUGUUAGUGACCUCUGGACUCAUUCAGGAAGGUGUUAGUGACCUCUGGACUCAUUCAGGAAGGUGUUAGUGACCUCUGGACUCAUUCAGGAAGGUGUUAGUGACCUCUGGACUCAUUCAGUAAGGUGUUAGUGACCCCUGGACUCAUUCAGGAAGGUGUUAGUGACCUCUGGACUCAUUCAGGAAGGUGUUAGUGAUCUCUGGACUCUUUCAGGAAGGUGUUAGUGACCUCUGGACUCAUUCAGGAAGGUGGUAGAGUGACCUCUGGACUCAUUCAGGAGAAUGUUAGUGACCUCUGGACUCAAUCAGGAGAAUGUUAGUGACCUCUGGACUCAUUCAGAGAAUGUUAGAGUGACCUCUGGACUCAUUCAGGAGAAUGUUAGUGACCUCUGGACUCAUUCAGGAAGGUGUUAGUGACCUCUGGACUCAUUCAGGAGAAUGUUAGAGUGACCUCUGGACUCAUUCAGGAGAAUGUUAGCGUGACCUCUGGACUCAUUCAGAGAAUGUUAGAGUGACCUCUGGACUCAUUCAGGAGAAUGUUAGAGUGACCUCUGGACUCAUUCAGGAGAAUGUUAUAGUGACCUCUGUACUCAUUCAGGAGAAUGUUAGAGUGAUCUCUGGACUCAUUCAGGAGAAUGUUAGAGUGAUCUCUGGACUCAUUCAGGAGAAUGUAAGAGUG